rnacentral:rRNA from 1 species
AGCGAACGCUGGCGGCAGGCCUAACACAUGCCAGUCGAACGAACUCUUCGGAGUUAGUGGCGGACGGGUGCGUAACACGUGGGAACGUGCCUUUUGGUUCGGAAUAACUCAGGGAAACUUGUGCUAAUACCGAAUGUGCCCUUCGGGGGAAAGAUUUAUCGCCAUUAGAGCGGCCCGCGUCUGAUUAGCUAGUUGGUGAGGUAACGGCUCACCAAGGCGACGAUCAGUAGCUGGUCUGAGAGGAUGACCAGCCACACUGGGACUGAGACACGGCCCAGACUCCUACGGGAGGCAGCAGUGGGGAAUCUUGCGCAAUGGGCGAAAGCCUGACGCAGCCAUGCCGCGUGAAUGAUGAAGGUCUUAGGAUUGUAAAAUUCUUUCACCGGGGACGAUAAUGACGGUACCCGGAGAAGAAGCCCCGGCUAACUUCGUG